UCACAGACAGGGCGCGUAGCCAGCGUGGAUCUGCCGGACAAAGGGAGCCAGGUCCUGUGAGGGAUGGAGUGAGAUUUCAUCAUGCUAUUCAGAAUGGUGUGCAAUUGAAAACUUGUUUAUUUCUGGGAUUUUCCAUUUAAUAUUUUCAGACUGAAGUGGACCACAAGUAACUGAAACCAUGGAAAGUGAAACUGAGGAUAAAGGAGGCUCCCAUAAAUUCACAAGCCAGAAGAGUCAUUUGGAAAGUCUCUUGUCCCACCUGACGAAAAUACCCACAGGUGUGGAGGGACAGGCCACCCCUUCAUCUGCCGCCCAACGUGGGUGCCUUUCUCUAAGGUGAAGUUACGCUAAGAAGGUGAGCAUGAAAGACAAGUCAACGAAAGAGUCCCAAGAGCAGCAGCCCAAAGCUACUGGAGGAGAGAAGAAGGGAGGAGGAAGCGUCUGGGCAUGAGAGCAGCAGGAGUUGAGGUUACAGAGCUGUCGAAAUCUCUCCUGCCUGGACCAAAGGUGCUUAAAUACUUGGAACACUUGAAAGUAAAAGAAAUCCCAACUCUAAGCCUCUUUGCAUCACGUGAAUGUCAUUUUUUUUACUUUCCUUCAAACACACACACACGGUAGCCUGCAGCCUUGCUUUGAGCAGCCUUUUUCUUAAGGUAGCACUAACCAGCAGGGAGAUGUUAGGAGAUUGAGAUUCCAAUUAAGGCUGCCUCUGAUUGCACUAGACAAGUCUCUGCUACUUAGAAAACAAGGCUGAAAAAUCCCAGAUUAAGGUUGUAGAGGAUAGCAUGGAUCAGAACCAAGGAGCUCACAAAAGCCCACUUACCAUGAAAAUUAUAUGAAAUGGGAGCCAUUAAAAAUAAAAAUAUUCAACAGGAACACUGCUGGCUAAAUCACAAAUUAAGAUGUAGCACAGGUCAAAUGGUGGUUCCCAA
rnacentral:lncRNA from 10 species